rnacentral:tmRNA from 1 species
GGGGGCGAAAGGGCUCGACGGGGGUUAUGAGGCAUAUGUGGCAUGUCGUGGCUCCAUCACCACGUUAAAAGGUGGAAAAAAACACAAACGCCAACAACGAACUGGCACUCGCUGCUUAACUAAGCAGCUCGUCACUUUUGGAUCGCCUGUGUCCGGGAGAUGACGACAAUGCAGCAGGCUGGCUGUCAGACCUGCCCCUGAUCUGACGGCGAGACUAAGGGGGAUUGGCCCUUAAAGAGUAUGUCUGUUGACGCUUUAAGUGCUGAAAACCAAAAAACAGACUAAACAUGUAGAAGCAUAUGUGUAGUACCUUCGGACCGGGGUUCGAUUCCCCGCGCCUCCACCA